GAGGUGAGUAACACGUGGGUGAUCUGCCCUGCACUUCGGGGUAAGCUUGGGAAACUGGGUCUAAUACCGGAUAGGAGCCAUCUUUAGUGUGGUGGUUGGAAAGUUUUUUCGGUGUAGGAUGAGCUCGCGGCCUAUCAGCUUGUUGGUGGGGUAAUGGCCUACCAAGGCAACGAUCAGUAGCCGGCUUGAGAGAGUGUACGGCCACAUUGGGACUGAGACACGGCCCAG
rnacentral:rRNA from 1 species